rnacentral:lncRNA from 1 species
UUUUCAAUGAGUUUGCUAAGUUUAGGAUAGUUUUGCUUUUAUUUUGUUUUCACACUUAUUUCAUAAAUAAACAGCAGUUUGACCUCUUCUCACUCUGCAGGCCAUAACUGGAGCUACGAGUAUCNNNNNNNNNNNNAUGCGUUGGAAAGCUAAGACAAAGAGAUACAACUUUGAUGUUGGAGCGAAAUUCAAAUUCCGAAGUUUACGUCGUGCCACGAUGGGUUAUAUCGUACCACGAUGAGAAUGGAAAAAAUCUGCACAUAAUCUGCAAAUCUUGAGGACCAAGCAGCCAUCCCAUCGCGCCACGAUCAAUCCAACGCACCACGAUGCUGCUUAGAAAUUAAGUCGAAAAAGCCUAUAAAUAGAGCCUUAGUCUCUCAUAUUUUAUUCAUUCCAGUUUUUGAGAAACUCUUGUAGCCUCUAGUAUUCUAUGGCUUGCUAAACCACUAGGGUUGAUAUGCUGUAAGGGGAUUUCUCCAAGACCUUGAGGUUAUUUAUAUUAUUCAG